AAUGAAGGGAGAGGGGGAAAAGCAUUCGAAGCGGCCUAAUGGAUCCAUCAGCUCGUUUUGGCUGCUCAGUGGGCCGAGCAGGGUCACCAGGCUUUCCACUGGCAGCACAAAGCACUUCAAUUUUGUUAGGAAAUGUAUCAAUUUAACUGACUUGAGCAGCACACUGAAAAACCUAAUGAAUCUGGACUCAAUUUUCCGCCACGCUGCCUCCGCGCGCUGUCGGAAACAAUGUCUGUGGUCGGGGGUGACGGCGGCGGCCUCCGAUAGGCUGCGGCCGCUCCCCAUCCGCUGUCAGGGCUAGUAGACAGAGACAGCCCUGCCUCCCGCAAUCCAGUGACAGCCGAGGACCGGGCACCGCCACUUUCCUAACAAUGAUGUCAUUAAAGCAGAGUAUCUGCCUAGCCCAGCCUCUCCCAGCUGUCCAAGUUCUCAAGUCAACGGUGAAUUGAAAUGGGGGCAGUUCCAGGAGGUCUAAGGGAAGCCAAACCCAUAACUGGCAGCCUCUGCAAGGAAGAAGUGGGAUCCUAGAGGAGAAUCAUACAGUGCAGGUGGGAUUAACCUGAGACUGAGACAAUAUAAGGAAGGCGUUGCUAUGUUAAA